GCUAAUCUCACAAAACCGAUCGUAGUCCGGAUCGCAGUCUGCAACUCGACUGCGUGAAGUCGGAAUCGCUAGUAAUCGCGAAUCAGAAUGUCGCGGUGAAUACGUUCCCGGGACUUGUACACACCGCCCGUCACACCAUGGGAGUGGGUUGCACCAGAAGUAGCUAGUCUAACCUUCGGGGGACGGUUACCACGGUGUGAUUCAUGACUGGGGUGAAGUCGUAACAAGGUAACC
rnacentral:rRNA from 1 species